rnacentral:rRNA from 1 species
UACGAAGGGGGCUAGCGUUGCUCGGAAUCACUGGGCGUAAAGGGUGCGUAGGCGGGUCUUUAAGUCAGGGGUGAAAUCCUGGAGCUCAACUCCAGAACUGCCUUUGAUACUGAGGAUCUUGAGUUCGGGAGGAGGUGAGUGGAACUGCGAGUGUAGAGGUGAAAUUCGUAGAUAUUAGGAAGAACACCAGUGGCGAAGGCGGCUCACUGGCCCGGUACUGACGCUGAGGCGCGAAAGCGUGGGGAGCAAACAGG